rnacentral:rRNA from 1 species
UACGAAGGGGGCUAGCGUUGCUCGGAAUCACUGGGCGUAAAGGGUGCGUAGGCGGCGCGGUAAGUCGGGUGUGAAAUCUCGGGGCUUAACUCCGAAACUGCAUUCGAUACUGCCGUGCUUGAGGACUGGAGAGGAGACUGGAAUUUACGGUGUAGCAGUGAAAUGCGUAGAGAUCGUAAGGAAGACCAGUGGCGAAGGCGGGUCUCUGGACAGUUCCUGACACUGAGGCACGAAGGCCAGGGGAGCAAACGGG